CUUGAAGUGGAUCCACCCUGUUGGACCAUAUCAGAUGGACAGAGAUGAGUGAUUCCUCAAACAGCCAGUCUCUAAACUUUGAAGGACUUUACAAGUGAUAGCCAGCACCUUGAAUUGCUCCUAGAAGCCAACUGGUAACCAGUGCAGCUUGUGAAGCCAUGGAUGAUGAUGUGACACCCCCAUCACUGUCCAUGUGACCACAUUCUGGACCAGGUCAAGGGGACAAGAUUUGAAGCAAGCUAGAGAAAGAAGAAGAAGAAAGAAACCCUGUCUGUUUUCCAGGGAGAAAAACAUUCUGUGAUUGGCAAUGUGUAAGAUGCUCUGAGUUGCAACCUGCUACCAGGGGUGUCGAACUGCCAGCCCAUGGGCCCGUUUCAUCAUACCGGAGCUGUGCCCACCCCAUUGCCGGCAACUGCGAAAAAGCUCCAAUACGUUGCGCGACAUCAUGUGACGUCACAAGUUUGACAUGUCUGUGCUAAACUAUGACAAGCACAAUCCACAAACCAUUUAUGCAGUGAGUCAUUGAUUGUAAGUUACCCUCAGGGUCGAGUCCUGGCAGUUCCCUGGAUUAGUCCAUGCAGGUUUAUCGGCAAGAUUUCAGAAGUGGUUUGUCAUUGCCUUCUUCCUCGAACUGAGGGAUAGUGACUGGCCCAAGGUCACCCAGCUGGCUUUGUGCCUAAGAUCUUCCAAUGAAGGAUGGAAGGCUGAGUCAGUCU